UACGUAGGGUGCGAGCGUUGUCCGGAAUUAUUGGGCGUAAAGAGCUUGUAGGCGGUUUGUCGCGUCUGCAGUGAAAAUCCGAGGCUCAACCUCGGACUUGCUGUGGGUACGGGCAGACUAGAGUAUGGUAGGGGAGACCGGAAUUCCUGGUGUAGCGGUGGAAUGCGCAGAUAUCAGGAGGAACACCGAUGGCGAAGGCAGGUCUCUGGGCCAUAACUGACGCUGAGAAGCGAAAGCAUGGGGAGCGAACAGG
rnacentral:rRNA from 1 species